ACGAGCUACCUAAGAGCAAUUUUAUGAAUGCACCCGUCUAUGUAGCAAAAUAGUGGGAAGACUUCUAGGUAGAGGUGAAAAGCCUAACGAGCUUGGUGAUAGCUGGUUACCCAAUAAAGAAUUUCAGUUCAACUUUAAAUUUACCUAAAGGAAUAACAACCUAAAUGUAAAUUUAAAAUAUAGCCUAAAGAGGGACAGCUCUUUAGGAAAGGAAACAACCUUUAGUAGAGAGUAAGAUAAAAACAUACUAACCAUAGUUGGCUUAAAAGCAGCCACCAAUAAAGAAAGCGUUCAAGCUCAACACUUAAAAACUAUAAUACCUAAAAUUUUAUCAAUCUCCUACAUUCAUAAUUGGGUUAAUCUAUUAACAAAUAGAAGAGAUACUGUUAGUAUGAGUAACAAGAAUAACAUUCUCCAUGCACAAGCCUAUAACAACCCGGAUAACCAUUGUUAGUUAACACAAAUAAAGCAUGUUAAACUACCUAUAAAUAAACUUUUAAAAUAAUGUUAAUCCAACACAGGUGUGCUUUAAGGAAAGAUUAAAAGGAAUAAAAGGAACUCGGCAAACACGAAUCCCGCCUGUUUACCAAAAACAUAACCUCUAGCAUCACAAGUAUUAGAGGCAAUGCCUGCCCAGGACUAAGUCACGCCG
rnacentral:rRNA from 1 species